rnacentral:rRNA from 1 species
GACGAACGCUGGCGGCGUGCCUAAUACAUGCAAGUAGAACGCUGAAGGAGGAGCUUGCUUCUCCGGAUGAGUUGCGAACGGGUGAGUAACGCGUAGGUAACCUGCCUGGUAGCGGGGGAUAACUAUUGGAAACGAUAGCUAAUACCGCAUAAGAGUAGAUGUUGCAUGACAUUUGCUUAAAAGGUGCAAUUGCAUCACUACCAGAUGGACCUGCGUUGUAUUAGCUAGUUGGUGAGGUAACGGCUCAUCAAGGCAACGAUACAUAGCCGACCUGAGAGGGUGAUCGGCCACACUGGGACUGAGACACGGCCCAGACUCCUACGGGAGGCAGCAGUAGGGAAUCUUCGGCAAUGGACGGAAGUCUGACCGAGCAACGCCGCGUGAGUGAAGAAGGUUUUCGGAUCGUAAAGCUCUGUUGUAAGAGAAGAACGAGUGUGAGAGUGGAAAGUUCACACUGUGACGGUAUCUUACCAGAA